rnacentral:tRNA from 1 species
GUCCCCAUCGUCUAGUGGCCUAGGACAUGACCCUCUCACGGUUAGAACCGGGGUUCGAGUCCCCGUGGGGACGCCA